rnacentral:tRNA from 1 species
GGGCAGUUAGCACAGUGGUAGCGCACUUCCUUCACACGGAAGGGGUCACAAGUUCGAAUCUUGUACUGCCCAUCA